AUCUACGGCCAGAGAACUUAGAAAACGCUGCAUCCCGUUAGAUCUGCAAAGCUAAGUCAAGUAUCGCUCGGUCAGUACCGAGGUCGGGGACGACUUGGGAAUCCCGAGUGCUGUAGUUU
rfam:Cryptococcus bestiolae CBS 10118 unplaced genomic scaffold supercont1.1, whole genome shotgun sequence.